rnacentral:rRNA from 1 species
UACGUAGGGCGCAAGCGUUAUCCGGAAUUAUGGGGCGUAAAGAGCUCGUAGGCGGUUUGUCGCGUCUGCCGUGAAAGUCCGGGGCUCAACUCCGGAUCUGCGGUGGGUACGGGCAGACUAGAGUGAUGUAGGGGAGACUGGAAUUCCUGGUGUAGCGGUGAAAUGCGCAGAUAUCAGGAGGAACACCGAUGGCGAAGGCAGGUCUCUGGGCAUUAACUGACGCUGAGGAUCGAAAGCAUGGGGAGCGAACAGG